GAGAUGCAGCUCAGUGGUAGAGUAUUUGCCUAGAAUGCAUGAUGGCUUGGGUUCAAUCCCCAGUAUAACA
rnacentral:tRNA from 1 species